UCACCUCAUAUGUGCUCCCGCUAACCAAGACCUAUGGGAGGAUAAAUUACGUCUUUAUAUCCUGUAGUGAGGGAUUACAGGAAAUAAGUUUCGCA
ncrna:unclassified sequences PhotoRC-II RNA